CCUACGGGAGGCAGCAGUGGGGAAUAUUGCACAAUGGGGGGAACCCUGAUGCAGCGACGCCGCGUGGGUGAAGAAGCGCCUCGGCGCGUAAAGCCCUGUCAGCAGGGAAGAAAAUGACGGUACCUGAAGAAGAAGCCCCGGGUAACUACGUGCCAGCAGCCGCGGGAAUACGUCGGGGGCAAGCGUUAUCCGGAUUUACUGGGUGUAAAGGGGGCGCAGACGGCGAGGCAAGCCAGGAGUGAAAGCCCGGGGCCCAACCCCGGGACUGCUGUUGGAACUGCGUGGCUGGAGUGCAGGAGGGGCAGGCGGAAUUCGUGGUGUAGCGGUGAAAUGCGUAGAUAUCAGGAGGAACACCGGUGGCGAAGGCGGCCUGCUGGCCUGCAACUGACGUUGAGGCACGAAAGCGUGGGGAGCAAACAGGAUUAGAUACCCGGGUAGUC
rnacentral:rRNA from 1 species